GACGAACGCUGGCGGCGUGCCUAAUACAUGCAAGUCGAGCGCAGAGAUGAGGAGUUUGUUCCCCUGACGUUAGCGGCGGACGGGUGAGUAACACGUGGAUAAUCUAUCUAUAAGACUGGGAUAACUUCGGGAAACUGGCGCUAAUACCGGAUAAUAUAUUGAUCCGUAUGGUUCAAUAGUGAAAGACGGUUUUGCUGUUACUUAUAGAUGGAUCCGCGUCGCAUUAGCUAGUUGGUAAGGUAACGGCUUACCAAGGCAACGCUGCGUAGCCGACCUGAGAGGGUGUUCGGCCACACUGGACCUGAGAAACGCUCCAAACUCCAAGGGAGGGAGGCGGUAGGGAAUCUUCCGCAAUGGGCGAAGGCCUGACGGAGCAACGCGGCGGAGUUGAGAAGGGUCUUCGGUUCGAAAAACUCUGUGAUUAGGGAAAAACAAUUGGGGAAGUAACUAUGCACGUCGUGACGGUACCUAAUCAGAAAGCCACGGCUAACUACGUG
rnacentral:rRNA from 1 species